rnacentral:rRNA from 1 species
AACGAACGCUGGCGGCAUGCCUAACACAUGCAAGUCGAACGAGACCUUCGGGUCUAGUGGCGCACGGGUGCGUAACGCGUGGGAACCUGCCCUUAGGUUCGGAAUAACUCCCCGAAAGGGGUGCUAAUACCGGAUAAUGUCUUCGGACCAAAGAUUUAUCGCCUUUGGAUGGGCCCGCGUUGGAUUAGCUAGUUGGUAGGGUAAAAGCCUACCAAGGCGACGAUCCAUAGCUGGUCUGAGAGGAUGAUCAGCCACACUGGGACUGAGACACGGCCCAGACUCCUACGGGAGGCAGCAGGGGGGAAUAUGGGACAAUGGGCGAAAGCCUGAUCCAGCAAUGCCGCGUGAGUGAUGAAGGCCUUAGGGUUGUAAAGCUCUUUUACCCGGGAUGAUAAUGACAGUCCCGGGAGAAUAAGCUCCGGCUACUCCGUG